rnacentral:lncRNA from 1 species
GAGCGGAAGAAGAAGGAAAUCUCACUUCUGCUUCUGCCGAGGAGCUCAGGUCUUCGCCUACACCGCUGGGUUUCUGUCUCCAGCGCUGACUUCCAACACAGACGCGCACGGUCUCUGCAGUGGGCUCCAGGCCUCUGACUUUCAACUGGGUCCUCUGGUUCCCAGUGCACAGACCGCCACUUUGCCUUCUUCCACACGGGACUCUGCGGGUGGCCAUGGCCAGUGUUGCUCCUGGGCUGUUUCCCUGUGUCCCCGAGGAUGUCUGCACUGUUCCUGUCCUGUUUGCUGGGAUGCCGGCUGAAGGCCUCUCCCAUUCUGCCUAGAAGGAAAGCUAAGGAGACAGAAGUUUUAAAGAGCUGCAAGUACGUCCACUUAAAUCUGAAACGUCCCCCAAAGUCUCAUGCGUUCCAAGGUCGGCCUUCGGAAGGUGACUAGAUCAUGGGGCGCAGUCGCCUUCACUGGAUGAGUUCACUGGAGAAUUCACGGCCUCAUGUGUCAGUAGGAGACAGGGCUCGGCUGGGGUGGGUCCCUAGGAGCUCGACUUGCAAAGCCUUUCUUGUCCCCAGCUCCUCUCUCUCUCUCUGUUUCCUGGCCUCCAUCAGGUGAGCAGCUCUCCUCCACCAGGAACUUUCACCUUGGAGCCAGCUGAUUUCGGACUAAAUCCUCUGAAACCAUGAGCUUCUCUUCCUCGAAGUUGAGGGUGCUGACUUUUGUGUCCCAGAGAUGGAACCUGACCAAUACAGAAAAUCGGUACCAGAAAUAGGGUUGCUGUUGGGACUUGCCUGAUCUUGAGGUACAGAAGCCUUUGAAACUGGUUUGCAAGAGGAAUUUGGAAGGCUUUGGAGAUACUGGCUAGAGAAACCCUGGCAUGCAAUAAUCAGAUCUGGCCAGUGCCGAGGAGACCAGGAUGCUUCUAGAAUAAAAGGAGUAAGGCUCAGGAGCUUUCAGUUGGGCUCUCCUCUGGGUGAGGCUUCCUGGCACGAGGAGCAAGUAGAUCAAGCCACUACGUCGCCCCCCCGCUGGUGCGGCUCUUGUUCUUCUUUUGGAUGCUGCAGGUCUGUGAGCCCUGGGGAGAUGGAUCCCCAUUUCCUCCUGCCUAUCUGUCACCCUCCGCAUUGUGGCGAUUGUCCCAUUUCUCUCUGAGAAGGUUCUCAUUCUCCUGAUUAAAUCCAUCGGGCAUUCUGAGGUCUUCCGGUUCUUUCUGUU